rnacentral:rRNA from 1 species
AUUGAACGCUGGCGGUAUGCUUAACACAUGCAAGUCGAACGCGAAAAUACCUUCGGGUAUGAGUAGAGUGGCGGACGGGUGAGUAACGCGUAGGAAUCUGCCUAGUAGUGGGGGACAACUACCGGAAACGGUAGCUAAUACCGCAUACGCCCUACGGGGGAAAGCGGGGGAUCUUCGGACCUCGCGCUAUUAGAUGAGCCUGCGUCGGAUUAGCUAGUUGGUGGGGUAAUGGCCUACCAAGGCGACGAUCCGUAGCUGGUCUGAGAGGAUGAUCAGCCACAUUGGGACUGAGACACGGCCCAAACUCCUACGGGAGGCAGCAGUGGGGAAUAUUGGACAAUGGGGGAAACCCUGAUCCAGCAAUACCGCGUGUGUGAAGAAGGCCUGCGGGUUGUAAAGCACUUUCAGUAGGAAGGAAAAGCCUGAGGUUAAUAACCUUGGGUCUUGACGUAACCUACAGAAGAAGCACCGGCUAACUCCG